UACAGAGGGUGCAAGCGUUAAUCGGAAUUACUGGGCGUAAAGCGCGCGUAGGUGGUUCGUUAAGUUGGAUGUGAAAUCCCCGGGCUCAACCUGGGAACUGCAUUCAAAACUGUCGAGCUAGAGUAUGGUAGAGGGUGGUGGAAUUUCCUGUGUAGCGGUGAAAUGCGUAGAUAUAGGAAGGAACACCAGUGGCGAAGGCGACCACCUGGACUGAUACUGACACUGGAGGUGCGAA
rnacentral:rRNA from 1 species